UGCACAAAAAAAAAAAAAAAAAAAAAAAAAAAAAAAAAAAAA
rnacentral:ribozyme from 1 species